CUACGGGAGGCAGCAGUGGGGAAUAUUGCACAAUGGGCGAAAGCCUGAUGCAGCAACGCCGCGUGGAGGAUGAAGGCCUUCGGGUUGUAAACUCUUGUCUUCUGGGACGAUAAUGACGGUACCAGAGGAGGAAGCCACGGCUAACUACGUGCCAGCAGCCGCGGUAAUACGUAGGUGGCAAGCGUUGUCCGGAUUUACUGGGCGUAAAGGAUGCGUAGGCGGAUAUUUAAGUGGGAUGUGAAAUACCCGGGCUCAACCUGGGUGCUGCAUUCCAAACUGGAUAUCUAGAGUGCGGGAGAGGAGAGUGGAAUUCCUAGUGUAGCGGUGAAAUGCGUAGAGAUUAGGAAGAACACCAGUGGCGAAGGCGACUCUCUGGACCGUAACUGACGCUGAGGCAUGAAAGCGUGGGGAGCAAACAGGAUUAGAAACCCUGGUAGUCCU
rnacentral:rRNA from 1 species